UACGUAGGGUGCAAGCGUUGUCCGGAAUUAUUGGGCGUAAAGGGCUCGUAGGCGGUCUGUCGCGUCGGGAGUGAAAACUUACAGCUUAACUGUGAGCGUGCUUCCGAUACGGGCAGACUUGAGGUAUUCAGGGGAGAACGGAAUUCCUGGUGUAGCGGUGAAAUGCGCAGAUAUCAGGAGGAACACCGGUGGCGAAGGCGGUUCUCUGGGAAUAUCCUGACGCUGAGGAGCGAAAGUGUGGGGAGCGAACAGG
rnacentral:rRNA from 1 species